AUUGAACGCUGGCGGCAUGCUUUACACAUGCAAGUCGAACGGUAACAGGCCGCAAGGUGCUGACGAGUGGCGGACGGGGGCGUAAUGCAACGGAACGUGCCCAGUCGUGGGGGAUAACUACUCGAAAGAGUAGCUAAUACCGCAUACGAUCUAUGGAUGAAAGCGGGGGACCGCAAGGCUUCGAGCGAUUGGUGCGGCCGAUGACAGAUUAGGUAGUUGGUGGGGUAAAGGCUCACCAAGUCAACGAUCUGUAGCGGGUCUGAGAGGACAACCAGCCACACUGGGACUGAGACACGGCCCAGACUCCUACGGGAGGCAGCAGUGGGGAAUUUUGGACAAUGGGCGCAAGCCUGAUCCAGCAAUGCCGCGUGCAGGAAGAAGGCCUUCGGGUUGUAAACUGCUUUUGUACGGAACGAAACGGCUCUGGUUAAUACCCGGGGCUAAUGACGGUACCGUAAGAAUAAGCACCGGCUAACUACGUG
rnacentral:rRNA from 1 species